rnacentral:rRNA from 1 species
CUGACCUCAAAUCAGGCAGGACUACCCGCUGAACUUAAGCAUAUCAAUAAGCGGAGGAAAAGAAACUAACAAGGAUUCCCCUAGUAACUGCGAGUGAAGCGGGAAAAGCUCAAAUUUAAAAUCUGGCAGCUUUGGCUGUCCGAGUUGUAGUCUGGAGAAGCGUUUUCUGUGCUGGACCGUGUACAAGUCUCC